CAUGCGGCUCUUUAGCGCUGCCCUAGUGGCUCCCUGGAGCAUUUUCAAAAAUGUUGGAGUCUGUUGCGAGUCUGUUUGGAACACGUCAAAACAUUCCUGAAAAGCAAAGACCUGCUGAACUACCCGCAAUUCAGAAUAAAUAUUCAAAGGUUAAAAUAAUUCAGAAUCUGAUGGAACAGAAAAACGUCCAUAAUAUGCUUUAUUGUCUUUGUCCAUUGUAAAAUAAAAUUGAAGCUAACAAACCGCUCAGCUUUUAGCUACUUCAACGUUAACCAUUUUACGUUUGUCUCCUGAAUUACCAGAUGCAAAAGUCACCGGGGCAGGGGGCGGCGGCGGUGAGGCCGGCAGCGGAUGGGCCGGCAGCGGAGAGGCCGGCGGCGGAGGAGCCCGCGGGCCAGGGCCCGUGGGGCAGAGCCCAGCGGCUCAAAGGCCAGCGGCGCAGAGACCGCCACUGCAGUGGCAAAGUGCCACGAAUCGAGCCAGGGAGGACCAGAGGCAGGCUGCGGCAAAUAGGGUUCUCCUGGUGAGGCUUCUGGUGCUCGUCAGAUCGCCUAAUCUGGAUUCAUGGCCCCCUGUGACCGGAUUUGGGGGGGUGGUUAAAGAAAAAUGUUCUAAGUCAUUUUUGUUUGAUAUGACUUAGAACAAUAAAAUGUUAUCUUUUAAUUAGUUUAUAUAAUAUAGUACAAUGAAUAGAGAAGAGAACAAAGAGUGUUGCUGAUGUGUUUUUUUAUUUUUUUCAUUUUGCAUUUCAUAGUUUUUUCUCCAUUAGGUAAAUUUUGAAGAAAAUUUUAAAAAUCUUAUUUAUUCAAAUUAGUAAUGUUGUAUUUUAUGUAGCUUGCUUAUUUAUAUAUUACGUUAUAGUUUGAUUUUUCUUUAUUCCAAAAGCUUGUUCCUGAAAAUGUUCCUAUUUAUUUUGUUUACAGCAGGUUGUUUUUUGUGUGUUCCAAUGCAAAUCAUUAAGUAAAAGAAUGUUAUUCUUUAUUAAUUUCUCUAGUUUAUUCAAGUAGAUUUAUUGUAUUUCUGUGUUCUAGCUCUUAGAUCAUUCUGUUAACUUUUUUUCCUUUUUCAGAACAAGUUGAAGAUAGAGAAAAUUAAAGCUUUUAUUUAUAAAAAAAAUUCAAUUCCAGAAAGAACCUGCACGUGCAGCUCACAGCAACCCGCAGAUCUCUGCAGAGCCGCUCAAUCCUGGGUCAUUAUAAACAGUGCCGAGAGCCGAGGCCCGCCUAAUCCGGAUUCAUGGCCCCCUGUGAAUUUUAAAAAUUUAAAAAAUUUUAAAAAUCUUUUACACAACACAAAAUCAACAACCAACUGUCCGUAAGGGACAUCCCUGGUAGGGGGUAUUGGGCCCUUGGCAACGGUAUUUGCAAAGUUCUACUGGCCUCUUUAUGCAUCUGAGUGUCCACAAUCCCCAGAUCUUGCGCCCGAUACAAUUAACUUUCCACGUGUCGCUGACGAGGAUGCUGAAGUUCUAGGGAAACCCAUCACUAUGGCAGAAGUCUCUGAGGCCAUUGCUGGUUAGCUGGAUUGAGUGUUCCCAGUUUCUGCCUGACUGAGCUCACCUGAUCCAGGUGGCCAGUUAUAAAUGCAGCGGGGUUAGCUGCAAAGCAGACUGUAAGAAGACAAUUUAAUCAUCUCCAUUUUCAGGGAUCAUCUCAGAAAGAAUCAACAGAUGUUUCAAAAGCCAAGAGAGGAAGAAAGAAAAGGAGUGACUCAGACCAAGAAAAUGAAAAAGAUGAAGCCCCUGCA